UACGUAGGGUGCGAGCGUUGUCCGGAAUUACUGGGCGUAAAGAGCUCGUAGGUGGUUUGUCGCGUUGUUCGUGAAAACCGGGGGCUUAACCCUCGGCGUGCGGGCGAUACGGGCAGACUGGAGUACUGCAGGGGGAGACUGGAAUUCCUGGUGUAGCGGUGGAAUGCGCAGAUAUCAGGAGGAACACCGGUGGCGAAGGCGGCGACCUGGUCCGAGACUGACGCUGAGGAGCGAAAGCGUGGGGAGCGAACAGG
rnacentral:rRNA from 1 species